GGAUGUGAGGGUGAUCUGGCUACGACAUGUCACCCGAUUGAUCGCCAGGGUUGAUUUGGCUGAUCUGGCUGGCUAGGAGGGUGUCCACUUCCUCCCUCACCGCUGCAGGUGCGUCCCUCUGGAAACUGCGCGCUCGGUGGAAGAGGACGACCUUCCCCGAUAGAGAAGGAGCGUUCUUCGGUCAAGGGUAUACGAGUAGCUGUGCUCCCCUGCUAGAACCUCCAAACAAGCUCUUAUUACCCUCAUAAAAAUCCCCUCCAAAGACCCUACUCUUUGCACAGAAUAGAGCUAAAACUCCUUAACAGGAUAUUCAAAGCAACUGCAUUAUCUCU
ensembl:misc_RNA 7SK 7SK RNA